UCACACUUUUCCUCCGCUCGGUUUCCAUGGCUCCCAUUUCCUACUUUCUUCUCAUCUCCUCCGUCCUCAGCCUGUUCUGUAAGGCCAUUCUAAAGUUCCACAGUAUCCAGAUGAGAAACAACAGAGAAAGCAUAAACUCUGGAGUCCAAAGAUAAGGAUUUUAGUCUCAGCAUGCCACAUCUUGGCUAUAUAAUCUCAAAGCAGGUCUCUGAAUAAUAUUUUCUUUAUUGAAGACCAUCUAGUUUCAUCUUGCCU